rnacentral:rRNA from 1 species
CCAAGUUGUUCAUUGGCCCGAUCUCGUCUGAUCUCGGAAGCUAAGCAAGGUCGCACCUGGUUAGUACUUGGAUGGGAGACCAAGUUGUUCAUUAGGCCAGUUGGG